rnacentral:lncRNA from 1 species
GAAAUAGUCAUGACGUGUUUCCUGUUAGGGACAAAGGUCAAAUUCCAAACGUUCACACGACUGUUCACAGUUCUGGAAGCGAGAAUUCCAAGAGCCUUGUGUUGGCGAGGAAUGGGGCUCAUCAAAAUCCCCUUCUCCUCUUGCCCUGCCUGGAGAAAAGGCCCUGAAGACCCUUCCCCCGAGGACUGGGCUGCCUCAGGGGUAGAAGGUGUGGCGUGGAUGCUCCGAGCAGACACUUGGUCCCAAGGCCCAGCCAGGCAGCGGGAAAGGGUCCCUUCCAGAGGGUGUCAGCGAAUGGAGUGGAUCCAGUGGAGCAACGGAGGUAGGAGCCACCAGCCAGGCCUGCAGGGGAGGCGGCAGAAGGUUGGCACUUAACAGAGUCUCAGAAAGGAGUGUGGGGCCAAGGCCUGAGCCUUGGGAGUUGGAGUGUGGGCAGCUCUGGGUUUCUAUCCAGUGGAUCUUUGGCAUCAUUUGGCCCAUUGUGACCCCUUGUCUAGCUGGAGCACUGGGGCACUGGAAGCCACCCGUUCUUAAGAUGCUUGCCU